UUCAUUGUCCUGUUAAACAAAAGGAAUGGCUGAUGCAAAAUUCUGUGGCCAGGCGUCUCUCCCUGGCACAACAUUAACACCGCAGACACUGACUCGGCACUCGCUGUGGGGUAACACUGCUUGAGCGAGCAGCGCACACACGCCAGCCAUGCUACCUCGGUCGUAGACAAAGCCUGAUGAAAGGAUCCUGGAGGUGACUGAAGGGAUAAGUGCAUUCUGCAAACUGCAGCUUGUGGCAGGUCUCCACCAAGAAUAGGCAGCAGCUUUCCAGUUCUUGGACCGUAAAGCUCUGCUGUGGCUUGCCAGGCACUGGGAAAUAAAAGACAAUUGUCCUGCAGAUGCUCAGUGGUCUUCUGUAAAUUGUGUAUAUAUGAACAUUGGCAUGCACACAGAUUCAGAAAAAGGACUAUGUAAUGUCAGCUGCAGGAGAUCAGCACCACAGACAGAGACACACUUCACCUCAGGACCCUGGAGAGCGCCUGGCUGGGACUCAGUGGAUGAUGAAGCUUUUUACUUACUGUUUAAAGCGGACAUAAGAUGCAUUCGUGGUCACUCACAAGUCACACUAAGUAUGUAAUUAACGGGUGUGUGAAAAAUAAGGUCAAGAGGACUGUUUUACACCAUGUUGCCCUACAAAGCCAUAGGUCAAUUUCCUGAAGAAACUAAUACAUGUAAGGUGAAUGUUA